AUCUUUGACAGUGUUUAUUUAGGGACACAGCUUUUUAUGCACAGACGCCCGCAGGGGGUCUCCAUCCAACACAACAUACUCAUGCAGAUAACCGUCUCCCGCUCUUGGAGAUACUAACAGGGACAUGCAUGAGUACACAUUAUAUACGGGGGGUGAACUUUAGUGCUCGGCUCCCCGGGACGGGAAGGUGGUACAGGGUUACACUUUAUACGGAUGAAUAGCCCCAGUUCCCCCCAAGACACCUGCAAAAAGUGGGGCAAUCGGAUGUACAGAGCCAGAGAUAUCAGUGUCGAAAGUCUGGGGCUCGAGGCUCUAUACAUCCCAAAAAUUAGUUCCAUGAUGUUGCUUGGUUUAGUCCGGCGAAUUCAAACUUCGCACCCAAACCAAGCAACAACCAAUCAGCCGAAAGGGCGCAAACUAAAUCGCGCCAACCAGCGUUAGGGGAAGGAAGGAGUUUUGCCACCCAAUCCAAAGAAAGGGCAUGAAACCUGAUGACACCAAUCUGCUGAAAGGCGCAAAACUUAUUCCAAUCAGUGCCCAGGGACGAGAGGCGUUUCACCGCCUAAUCAGAUGGAAGGGCACAAGACCCUGUUUGAACAAGCGCUCCUUCUCUGAUUGGUCGCCGCUCCCUGCAGCAACCAAUCAGCGCUUUACUUGCGCUGACCAAUCAGGAGAAUAGUCCGAACCCAGCUUAAAUGGGAGCUCCCUUUCCCAUUGGUCUCCACGGAUUUCCAUGCGGCCAGAGGGAACCCUGUGGCUGUGAGACCGCUUCACAGCCCCAGGGGCUCCCUGCUGGCUGGCGUCCCUCUCUCUGGUGGGCACACUCAGAUGUCCGCUGGAGAGCGCGUUCGCCUGGGUAGCCACGAGCCUAGCCUCGUAGCUCCCAGGUUUGAGAGUGGCAAGUGAUUAUAGCUCUGUUAGCAGCAGGUCGAAGACAGUGUACAAAUGCCAGUUUGGGAGUCGAAUGCUCCCUCUAGUGGGUGUUCAGUGAGACAAGCCAGCGGCCACCCAGAGGAAGCAUGCGCCGCUCGUGGUCCAGCGCACGGGGCUCUGUGGCGGUCAAAAGGUGUAUUGCAGGAUUUUAUGGGCAAAAUUACAGAAAGAGGAAUAUGAAAGAGGGGAAACACACAUUCUAGGAGGGCACAUCCACACAUAUAAAACAAGGCAAUUCACAGUGUAGGCAGCGUUUAAAUUACAAUACAUAUACAAACAAAACCAAACGGUAAAUACAGAGAAGUAUGCAUUUUAUAACAUUUGAAGAUAUUUUAUUUAUCCUCUUUUUUUUGUGUGAUCAUCCCAACGAAUAAAGCCGCCCUUAUCUUAUUGAAAUAAACUUUUUUUAAGUUAUACGUUUUAGUACACCCAUGUGCCUUUGCUUGUUUAUUUCCCACAACACCAUAUGUUCUUCACUAUUUCCCCAAUUGUUCCCUUAUUUGAACGUUAUAACAAACCAUGUUGAGCUUUUGCCUCUUCAGAUCCAGACAAGGAUCCUUUCUAGUUGGUGCUUGUACCAAUUAUGACAUGAAGGUGUAAUUUAACAGGUUCAAAAACCUGAUUACCCUCCUUGAAGGACUCCUUCAAUCACAAUCUAUUUCCAGAUAUGUAGCUUUCCCCAAUUGGCUCUAACAGAUGUUAUUCCUCAAAGCCGAUUUUAUUGCCUUAUUUGUGUGUCCUAAUUCCAAGUUGUAAACUUGUAAUAGGUGCCAAAAUCUGCCAAUGUGCUGUUUUUGUUGUUUUCUUCAAACAUGAUUUCUACACACUUAUUCAAUAAUCCUUGAAUGAUAAAAAUACAUUUAAACAUUUUUGGUAUACUUUUUGAGAAGAAAUUAUACUGUAGGCUUCAUGGGAUUUGGCCUACCACCUCUAUUCACUAAAUAGUUGUGCAUGAAGGGAAGGUAGGUACACAAAUUCCAGUUAUGACUGCAUUUUUUGCAAUUCUUAUAAUGGGAUCAAAACAAAAGCAAAUCAGAAAUACAUUGCUAAUAAUAUAGAUUUAUUAUAUCUAGGUGAUAAGUGACAAAGAGUGUAUAAAGUUCCAGGCUGAAUACCUACAUUUUAAAAGGACACUAUAAGCACAAAAAUAACAUUAGCUUAAUUGAGUGUUUUUGGCAGUUAGAUUAUGUACUUCCUUUCAAACCUCUAAAUUCUCUGCCAUUUAGUAGUUAAAUCACUUUGUGUAUGCAGACCGUGUCACAUCUUCCCAGCAUGUGGCAUAUACAGUCUGCCUACAUAUUUCCUGUGAAGAGAAACGUAAUGUUUCAACUUCCAUUCAUUGCACUGUCUGUUUACUUCAGAAUUUAUCAUAUACUGCUCAGUUAACCGCCUGCUACAGCAUGAUUGAAGUUAAAUCAACAGUGUUGGAGAUGAAAACUAAAGUAAACACAUGGUUGUCACAUGUGACUGAAAAUGAUCCUUCCCCCCCCACCUCCCGUUUAGGCUAUGCGAGUCACAGGCAGGGAUGUGUGGCUAAAACAAACGUGAUUUAAUUCCUAAAUUAGAUCUACCAGUGGUUCCCAAACCAGUCCUCAAUGAACUCAUACCAGUCAAGGAUUUAGGGAAUACUCUGUUGUGUCUAAGAUGGGGUUUUUUCCACUAAAAGACACCUUAGACACAACUGGGUAAUCCCGAAAUCCUAGACUUGUAGGGGUGCCUUGAGUACUAGUUUGCGAACCACUGGUCUGUACACAUAAAAAAUAACUGCUUCAAAAGUUUUCUUGGUGCUUAUAAAUAGUACUUUAAGCGUAUUGCACAAAAUCAUACAAUAAAAAUACCACACACAGCAAAAUCAAAAUGCACACUAGAAGUUGGUCUUAUACGUUUGUUAAAUUACAGACUUUCCAAAGCAGCUCAGUGAGAAGUCUUUCCAAGGUAGGUGCUCUGAGCAAUUGCCUGUCUCUUGAUUUUAGCUCCACUGAGACAGACAAACCAGGAAAUAACAGGAAGUAACAGGACAUGUCUGCUUGAAAGCUGGAUAGGUGUAAAAAAGUUAAUUUAUAAAAUGGACGAUUUCUAUUUACACUUUUUGUAAAAUAAGGAAGAAAAGAAUAAACUUGUUUUCCUGGCACUAUAGCUUCCCCCUCUGUCAAGCGCCCCUACCUUGUGGUGCAGAAGGGGUUAAUAACUCCCUUGUCACUACCCGGGUCUAGCGCCGAUGCACUGGUCCACCUUUGCUCCUCAAUGGCCGCAUUAGGAUUUCUCAAUAGGAAAGUAUUAUACAAUGCUUUCCUAUUGGGUCUUGCUUGAAGCUGGACGCCCCCAUGCAUAGCCACUAGAGGAGGAGUUAACCCUGAACGGUUAUUAUUGCAGUUUCUUAAAAACUGCAAUAAUUACUUUUGCAGGGUAAAGGGCCCUGGGACAGUGCAUCCAGACCACUUCAAUGAGCAGUAGUGGGGCCCUUUACCCUAAAUCCCUUUCCUCAUAUGUUGAGGUUAGGACUCUAUCAAAUAUUCUGUACUCUGCCCUUGGGUUUUUACGUCCAAGAUGCAUUAUCUUGCACUUAUCCACAUUAAAUGUCAGUUGCCACAAUUCUGACCAUUUUUCUAGUUUACCUAAAUCAUUUGUCAUUUGGCUUAUCCUCCUGGAACAUCAACCCUGUUACAUAUCUUAGUAUCAUCAGCAAAAAGACAUACCUUACCAUCAAGACCUUCUGCAAUAUCACUAAUAAAAAUAUUAAAGAGAAUGGGUCCAAGUAC